rnacentral:rRNA from 1 species
CCUACGGGUGGCAGCAGUGGGGAAUAUUGGACAAUGGGGGCAACCCUGAUCCAGCCAUGCCGCGUGUGUGAAGAAGGCCCUCGGGUUGUAAAGCACUUUCAGUGAGGAAGAACGCCUGGUGGUUAAUACCCAUCAGGAAAGACAUCACUCACAGAAGAAGCACCGGCUAACUCCGUGCCAGCAGCCGCGGUAAUACGGAGGGUGCGAGCGCUAAUCGGAAUUACUGGGCGUAAAGCGCGCGUAGGUGGCUUGAUAAGCCGGUUGUGAAAGCCCCGGGCUCAACCUGGGAACGGCAUCCGGAACUGUCAAGCUAGAGUGCAGGAGAGGAAGGUAGAAUUCCCGGUGUAGCGGUGAAAUGCGUAGAGAUCGGGAGGAAUACCAGUGGCGAAGGCGGCCUUCUGGACUGACACUGACACUGAGGUGCGAAAGCGUGGGUAGCAAACAGGAUUAGAUACCCCGGUAGUC